rnacentral:rRNA from 1 species
AUUGAACGCUGGCGGCAGGCCUAACACAUGCAAGUCGAGCGGAUGAAGGGAGCUUGCUCCUGGAUUCAGCGGCGGACGGGUGAGUAAUGCCUAGGAAUCUGCCUGGUAGUGGGGGAUAACGUCCGGAAACGGGCGCUAAUACCGCAUACGUCCUGAGGGAGAAAGUGGGGGAUCUUCGGACCUCACGCUAUCAGAUGAGCCUAGGUCGGAUUAGCUAGUUGGUGGGGUAAAGGCCUACCAAGGCGACGAUCCGUAACUGGUCUGAGAGGAUGAUCAGUCACACUGGAACUGAGACACGGUCCAGACUCCUACGGGAGGCAGCAGUGGGGAAUAUUGGACAAUGGGCGAAAGCCUGAUCCAGCCAUGCUGCGUGUGUGAAGAAGGUCUUCGGAUUGUAAAGCACUUUAAGUUGGGAGGAGGGGCAGUAAGUUAAUACCUUGCUGUUUUGACGUUACCAACAGAAUAAGCACCGGCUAACUUCGUG